GAUGAACGCUGGCGGCGUGCCUAAUACAUGCAAGUCGAGCGAAAAGACGCGGCGUUUGUUCCUUUGUCGUUUGCCGCGGACGGGUGAGUCACAUGUGGAUCCUCUACUUAUCAGACUGGGAUAUCUUCGGGACACCGGAGCUAAUACCGGAUAAUAUCUUGCUCCGCAUGGUUCAAUAGUGAAUGUCGGUUUUGCUGGCUCUUAUAGCUGGUUCCGCGCCGCUUUAGCUAGUUGUUAAGGUAACGGCUUACCAAGGGUACGAUGCGUAGCCGACCUGAGAGGGUGAUCGGCCACACUGGAACGGAGACACGGUCCAGACGCCUACGGUAGGCAGCAGUAGGGAAUCUUCCGCAAUGGGCGAAAGCUUGACGGAGCAACGCCGCGUGAGUGAUGAAGGUCUUCGGAUCGUAAAACUCUGUUAUGAGGGAAGAACAAAUGUGUAAGGAACUAUGCACUUCUUGACGGUACCGAAUCAGAAAGCCACGGCUAACUACGUG
rnacentral:rRNA from 1 species